rnacentral:rRNA from 1 species
GUUCAUAUAUAGAGAAAAGAGAACGCGCCCGAUCUCAUCUGAUCUUGGAUGAUAAGUAGGGUGGGGCCUGGUUAGUACUUAGAUGGGAGAAAUGAAGUAGCAUCAACUAUGUGAAUU